GGUGGUGCUUGGGUGAUGCACCCCAGAAUAGGGCCCCCUCCUCUCUGGUUCCAAGUGCAUCACCCGAGAACUGGA
rfam:Myotis davidii contig54588, whole genome shotgun sequence.